UACGUAGGGGGCGAGCGUUGUCCGGAUUUAUUGGGCGUAGAGAGCUCGUAGGCGGUUGGGUAAGUCGGGUGUGAAAACUCAGGGCUCAACCCUGAGACGCCACUCGAUACUGCCCUGACUUGAGUCCGGUAGGGGAGCGUGGAAUUCCCGGUGUAGCGGUGAAAUGCGCAGAUAUCGGGAGGAACACCAGUGGCGAAGGCGGCGCUCUGGGCCGGAACUGACGCUGAGGAGCGAAAGCGUGGGUAGCAAACAGG
rnacentral:rRNA from 1 species